GUUAAUCGGUAUGAUCGGUUUGGUUCGGUUAGUAUUUUUAAAAUUUUUCGGUUUUCGGUUCGGUUCGGUUUAAAUAUGUUAAAUAACCGAUCAAACCGAAAAACCGAUUUGGCAAGGCCCAAGCCCAUGCCUGAGCCCGAGCCCUCCCCCUGGCCUGACCUAUCGAAGCGGCUUCAGCAGCCCAACCCCAUCCAUCGAACCCCUUCAUUCAUCCCGUUCCCGUUCUCUACAUUCUGCAGUCUCCUCUCUUCUCUCGAACCCUAUUCCCCCCCGAACCCCUAUUCUCUCUCUCGAUUCUCGAAUCCCGAUUCCUCCCCCUGGCCUCUCUUUCUCUUUCUCGUCGACCUCCGACCGCCGACCGUCGACCGUCGACCAUCAACCUCUUUCCCGUCGAUUUGGUGAGUUUCGCCGCCGACCGUCGACCGUCGACCAUCAACCUCUUUCCCGUCGAUUUGGUGAGUUUCGCCGCCGACCGUGGACUGAUCUCUUGAGAGCAGAGGUACUACCGCUUUUCAGCUUAUUCUACCUAAUGUUUCAUAUGAUUAAAAUUUCAUUAAACAAUAAAAAAGGUUCAUGGUUGGAUGGGUUCAGGUAGUGUGCAGAUAGUGGUAAAUAGGUUUGGGAUGCAGAGAGAUUUUGGUUUUGUUUGCCUUUUUAUUUGUUCCCUUUCUUUCUUUGUAUUGUGAAUUUUUAAUGAGCCAAUAGAUAUGAGCAUGUGCUCAUCUGAAGCUGACUGCUUCUUCCAUAUGUAUACGAGAAGAGCUGAGGUUCCCAUUUGGGAUUUCUUUUUUCUGCUUCAAUCAAUUACGAAUUACUG
rnacentral:lncRNA from 1 species